rnacentral:rRNA from 1 species
AUUGAACGCUGGCGGCAUGCCUAACACAUGAAAGUCGAACGAGUGGCGGACGGGUGAGUAAUGAAUGGGAACCUGCCUGAUGGAGGGGGCUAACUACUGGAAACGGUAGCUAAUACCGCAUACCAUCAGAUGUGCCCACAUGGGAUUAGCUAGGUGGUGGGGUAACGCCUCACAAAGGCGACGAUCCCUAGCUGGUCUGAGAGGAGGACCAGCCACACUGGAACUGAGACACGGUCCAGACUCCUACGGGAGGCAGCAGUGGGGAAUAUUGCACAAUGGGCGCAAGCCUGAUGCAGCCAUGCCGCGUGUAUGAAGAAGGCCUUCGGGUUGUAAAGUACUUUCAGCGGGGAGGCGUGACCCGCAGAAGAAGCACCGGCUAACUCCGUGCCAGCAGCCGCGGUAAUUC